rnacentral:rRNA from 1 species
GAUCAUGGCUCAGGAUGAACGCUAGCUACAGGCUUAACACAUGCAAGUCGAGGGGAAACGACAUCGAAAGCUUGCUUUUGAUGGGCGUCGACCGGCGCACGGGUGAGUAACGCGUAUCCAACCUGCCCACCACUUGGGGAUAACCUUGCGAAAGUAAGACUAAUACCCAAUGAUAUCUCUAGAAGACAUCUGGAAGAGAUUAAAGAUUUACCGGUGAUGGAUGGGGAUGCGU